rnacentral:rRNA from 1 species
AGUGGACGCUGGCGGUAGGCCUAACACAUGCAAGUCGAACGGCAGCACAGUAAGAGCUUGCUCUUACGGGUGGCGAGUGGCGGACGGGUGAGGAAUACAUCGGAAUCUACUUUUUCGUGGGGGAUAACGUAGGGAAACUUACGCUAAUACCGCAUACGACCUACGGGUGAAAGCAGGGGAUCUUCGGACCUUGCGCGAUUGAAUGAGCCGAUGUCGGAUUAGCUAGUUGGCGGGGUAAAGGCCCACCAAGGCGACGAUCCGUAGCUGGUCUGAGAGGAUGAUCAGCCACACUGGAACUGAGACACGGUCCAGACUCCUACGGGAGGCAGCAGUGGGGAAUAUUGGACAAUGGGCGCAAGCCUGAUCCAGCCAUACCGCGUGGGUGAAGAAGGCCUUCGGGUUGUAAUGCCCUUUUGUUGGGAAAGAAAAGCAGCAGGUUAAUACCCCGCUGUUCUGACGGUACCCAAAGAAUAAGCACCGGCUAACUUCGUG